AUUAAAGUGGCAGAGCGGAUCAAUGCAAAAGGUCUAAGCCCUUUCUACGGAGGUUCAAGCCCUCUCUUUAAUA
rnacentral:tRNA from 1 species